rnacentral:rRNA from 1 species
UAAUACCGGAUAGAUCAAAGAUACUGGAAUGUUCCUUGAUCCAAAGCUCCGGCGUCCAAGGAUGGAUCUGCGGCCUAUCAGGUAGUAGUGGGUGUAACGUACCUACUAGCCUACGACGGGUACGGGUUGUGAGAGCAAGAGCCCGGAGAUGGAUUCUGAGACAUGAAUCCAGGCCCUACGGGGCGCAGCAGGCGCGAAAUCUUUACAAUGCAGGGAACUGCGAUAAGGGGACCCCGAGUGCCAGCAUCUAAUGCUGGCUGUCCAGCUGUGUAAAUAGCAGUUGUUAGCAAGGGCCGGGCAAGACCGGUGCCAGCCGCCGCGGUAACACCGGCGGCCCGAGUGGUAACCGAUUUUAUUGGGUUUAAAGGGUCCGUAGCCGGCCUGUUAAGUCUCUUGGGAAAUCUGGCGGCUCAAUCGUCAGGCGUUC